CUCGUAGGUGGCUUUGUAAGUCAGGUGUGAAAGCCCACGGCUCAACCGUGGGAUUGCACUUGAUACUGCAUCGCUAGAGUAUAGGAGAGGGAAGUGGAAUUUCUGGUGUAGGAGUGAAAUCCGUAGAGAUCAGAAGGAACACCCGUGGCGAAGGCGACUUCCUGGACUAUUACUGACACUGAGGAGCGAAAGCGUGGGGAGCAAACA
rnacentral:rRNA from 1 species